GGGGGUAUAGCUCAGUUGGUAGAGUGCUUGCCUUGCAGACAUAAAGCCCUGGGUUCAAUCCCCAGCACCACCA
rnacentral:tRNA from 1 species